rnacentral:tRNA from 1 species
GAGGGUAUAGCUCAGUGGUGGAGUGCCUGCUUAGUAUGCACGAGGUCCUGGAUUCAAUCUCCAAUACCUUCA